rnacentral:rRNA from 1 species
AGUGAACGCUGGCGGUAGGCCUAACACAUGCAAGUCGAACGGCAGCACAGUAAGAGCUUGCUCUUACGGGUGGCGAGUGGCGGGCGGGUGAGGAAUACAUCGGAAUCUACUUUUUCGUGGGGGAUAACGUAGGGAAACUUACGCUAAUACCGCAUACGACCUACGGGUGAAAGCAGGGGAUCUUCGGACCUUGCGCGAUUGAAUGAGCCGAUGUCGGAUUAGCUAGUUGGCGGGGUAAAGGCCCACCAAGGCGACGAUCCGUAGCUGGUCUGAGAGGAUGAUCAGCCACACUGGAACUGAGACACGGUCCAGACUCCUACGGGAGGCAGCAGUGGGGAAUAUUGGACAAUGGGCGCAAGCCUGAUCCAGCCAUACCGCGUGGGUGAAGAAGGCCUUCGGGUUGUAAAGCCCUUUUGUUGGGGAAGAAAAGCAGCAGGUUAAUACCCCGCUGUUCUGACGGUACCCAAAGAAUAAGCACCGGCUAACUUCGU